rnacentral:rRNA from 1 species
GUAGUCAUAUGCUUGUCUCAAAGAUUAAGCCAUGCAUGUCUAAGUAUAAGCAAUUUGUACGGUGAAACUGCGAAUGGCUCAUUAAAUCAGUUAUCGUUUAUUAGAUAGUACCUUACUACAUGGAUACCUGUGGUAAUUCUAGAGCUAAUACAUGCUUAAAACCCCGACUUCGGAAGGGGUGUAUUUAUUAGAUAAAAAGCCAAUGCCCUUCGGGGCUCCUUGGUGAUUCAUAAUAACUUAUCGAAUCGCAUGGCCUUGCGCCGGCGAUGGUUCAUUCAAAUUUCUGCCCUAUCAACUUUCGAUGGUAGGAUAGUGGCCUACCAUGGUGGCAACGGGUAACGGGGAAU